AUGCAAGUCGAACGGUGACGAUGGAGCUUGCUCUGUCUGAUCAGUGGCGAACGGGUGAGUAACACGUGAGUAACCUGCCCCCGACUCUGGAAUAACCGUGGGAAACGACGGCUAAUACCGGAUAUGAGACGCACAGGCAUCUGUGGGUCUGGAAAGAUUUAUCGGUCAGGGAUGGACUCGCGGCCUAUCAGCUUGUUGGUGGGGUAAUGGCCUACCAAGGCGACGACGGGUAGCCGGCCUGAGAGGGCGACCGGCCACACUGGGACUGAGAUACGGCCCAGACUCCUACGGGAGGCAGCAGUGGGGAAUAUUGCACAAUGGGCGCAAGCCUGAUGCAGCGACGCCGCGUGAGGGAUGAAGGCCUUCGGGUUGUAAACCUCUUUCAGCAGGGAAGAAGCGAAAGUGACGGUACCUGCAGAAGAAGCGCCGGCUAACUACGUGCCAGCAGCCGCGGUAAUACGUAGGGCGCAAGCGUUGUCCGGAAUUAUUGGGCGUAAAGAGCUCGUAGGCGGUUUGUCGCGUCUGCUGUGAAAACCUGAGGCUCAACCUCGGGCUUGCAGUGGGUACGGGCAGACUAGAGUGCGGUAGGGGUGACUGGAAUUCCUGGUGUAGCGGUGGAAUGCGCAGAUAUCAGGAGGAACACCGAUGGCGAAGGCAGGUCACUGGGCCGCAACUGACGCUGAGGAGCGAAAGCAUGGGGAGCGAACAGGAUUAGAUACCCUGGUAGUCCAUGCCGUAAACGUUGGGCACUAGGUGUGGGGCUCAUUCCACGAGUUCCGUGCCGCAGCAAACGCAUUAAGUGCCCCGCCUGGGGAGUACGGCCGCAAGGCUAAAACUCAAAGAAAUUGACGGGGGCCCGCACAAGCGGCGGA
rnacentral:rRNA from 1 species